CGCAUCUGUGCAUGCAGCAUAUCAAUAAGCGGAGGAAAAGAAACUAACAAGGAUUCCCCUAGUAACGGCGAGUGAAGCGGGAAGAGCUCAAAUUUGAAAUCUUAAAGGGUUUCCCUUUACGAAUUGUAGUUUAAAGAAGUGUUUUCUGCUGAGGUUUUGGUAAAAGUUCUUUGGAAUAGGACAUCAUAGAGGGUGAGAAUCCCGUAUUUGACCUUUACUUUCAACUUUGUGAUACACUUUCAAAGAGUCGGAUUGUUUGGGAAUGCAGUCCAAAAUGGGUGGUAAAUUUCAUCUAAAGCUAAAUAUUGGCGAGAGACCGAUAGCGAACAAGUACCGUGAGGGAAAGAUGAAAAGAACUUUGAAAAGAGAGUUAAACAGUACGUGAAAUUGUCAAAAGGGAAGCGUUUGACACCAGUGUUGUUUUUCUGAAAAUCAAUUAAAGAACUGUUUAUGCUAAGUUGUUUAGACUUUAUCAGCUAACUGUUUAGUUUUAGGCUUUUCUUUAAUGCACUUUUCAGUUAACAAGUCAACAUCAAUUUCUUUUGCUGUAAAAAAGCUUGAGGAAGGUGGCUUGAGAUUCGUCUUAAGUGUUUAUAGCCUCUUGCCUAUGCAGUCGGAGAGAUUGAGGUCUGCAGCGUAGAUCCUUCGGGGCUAAAUGCAUUUGUGCUAAGUUAUAGCAUUUUAUAGACAACUUGUUGACUAUGAUUUGUCUUGUAGCUUACUCGCUUAUGUUAUUUUACCUACGCUUAGGAUGUUGAACGCGCACAGAGUCUC
rnacentral:rRNA from 1 species